rnacentral:rRNA from 1 species
CACGGGGGGAGCAAGCGUUGUUCGGAUUCAUUGGGCGUAAAGGGCUCGUAGGCGGUUCGUUAUGUCGGAUGUGAAAGCCCUUGGCUCAACUGAGGAAGUGCAUCCGAAACUGGCGAGCUAGAGUAUGUAAGAGGGUCGCGGAAUUCCCGGUGUAGAGGUGAAAUUCGUAGAUAUCGGGAGGAACACCGGUGGCGAAGGCGGCGACCUGGGACAAUACUGACGCUGAGGUGCGAAAGCGUGGGGAGCAAACAGG